UACAGAGGUCUCAAGCGUUUGUUCGGAUUCAUUGGGCGUAAAGGGUGCGUAGGUGGCGCGCUAAGUCAGGUGUGAAAUUUCGGAGCUUAACUCCGAAACUGCAUUUGAUACUGGCGUGCUUGAGGACUGGAGAGGAGACUGGAAUUCAUGGUGUAGCAGUGAAAUGCGUAGAGAUCAUGAGGAAGACCAGUGGCGAAGGCGGGUCUCUGGACAGUUCCUGACGCUGAGGCACGAAGGCCAGGGGAGCAAACGGG
rnacentral:rRNA from 1 species